GACGAACGUUGGCGGCGUGCUUAACACAUGCAAGUCGAACGGAAAGGCCCUGCUUUUGUGGGGUGCUCGAGUGGCGAACGGGUGAGUAACACGUGAGUAACCUGCCCUUGACUCUGGGAUAACUUCAGGAAACUGGGGCUAAUACCGGAUAGGAGCUCCUGCUGCAUGGUGGGGGUUGGAAAGUUUCGGCGGUUGGGGAUGGACUCGCGGCUUAUCAGCUUGUUGGUGGGGUAGUGGCUUACCAAGGCUUUGACGGGUAGCCGGCCUGAGAGGGUGACCGGCCACAUUGGGACUGAGAUACGGCCCAGACUCCUACGGGAGGCAGCAGUGGGGAAUAUUGCACAAUGGGCGGAAGCCUGAUGCAGCAACGCCGCGUGCGGGAUGACGGCCUUCGGGUUGUAAACCGCUUUCGCCUGUGACGAAGCGUGAGUGACGGUAAUGGGUAAAGAAGCACCGGCUAACUACGUGCCAGCAGCCGCGGUGAUACGUAGGGUGCGAGCGUUGUCCGGAUUUAUUGGGCGUAAAGGGCUCGUAGGUGGUUGAUCGCGUCGGAAGUGUAAUCUUGGGGCUUAACCCUGAGCGUGCUUUCGAUACGGGUUGACUUGAGGAAGGUAGGGGAGAAUGGAAUUCCUGGUGGAGCGGUGGAAUGCGCAGAUAUCAGGAGGAACACCAGUGGCGAAGGCGGUUCUCUGGGCCUUUCCUGACGCUGAGGAGCGAAAGCGUGGGGAGCGAACAGGCUUAGAUACCCUGGUAGUCCACGCUGUAAACGGUGGGUACUAGGUGUGGGGUCCAUUCCACGGGUUCCGUGCCGUAGCUAACGCUUUAAGUACCCCGCCUGGGGAGUACGGCCGCAAGGCUAAAACUCAAAGGAAUUGACGGGGCCCCGCACAAGCGGCGGAGCAUGCGGAUUAAUUCGAUGCAACGCGUAGAACCUUACCUGGGUUUGACAUGGAUCGGGAGUGCUCAGAGAUGGGUGUGCCUCUUUUGGGGUCGGUUCACAGGUGGUGCAUGGCUGUCGUCAGCUCGUGUCGUGAGAUGUUGGGUUAAGUCCCGCAACGAGCGCAACCCUUGUUCACUGUUGCCAGCACGUUAUGGUGGGGACUCAGUGGAGACCGCCGGGGUCAACUCGGAGGAAGGUGGGGAUGACGUCAAGUCAUCAUGCCCCUUAUGUCCAGGGCUUCACGCAUGCUACAAUGGCUGGUACAGAGAGUGGCGAGCCUGUGAGGGUGAGCGAAUCUCGGAAAGCCGGUCUCAGUUCGGAUUGGGGUCUGCAACUCGACCUCAUGAAGUCGGAGUCGCUAGUAAUCGCAGAUCAGCAACGCUGCGGUGAAUACGUUCCCGGG
rnacentral:rRNA from 1 species